UACGGGGGGGGGCAAGCGUUGUUCGGAAUUACUGGGCGUAAAGGGCGCGUAGGCGGUUCGCUAAGUCGGAUGUGAAAACUCUGGGCUCAACCCAGAGCCUGCAUCCGAAACUGGCGGGCUAGAGUUCUGGAGGGGGUAGCGGAAUUCCUGGUGUAGCGGUGAAAUGCGUAGAUAUCAGGAGGAACACCGGUGGCGAAGGCGGCGAUCUGGGAAGAUACUGACGCUGAGGUGCGAAAGCGUGGGGAGCAAACAGG
rnacentral:rRNA from 1 species